AUGGAGCCGACCUUGAAAUACCACCCUUUAAUGUUUGAUGUUCUAACGUUGACCCGUAAUCCGGGUUGCGGACAGUGUCUGGUGGGUAGUUUGACUGGGGCGGUCUCCUCCUAAAGAGUAACGGAGGAGCACGAAGGUUGGCUAAUCCUGGUCGGACAUCAGGAGGUUAGUGCAAUGGCAUAAGCCAGCUUGACUGCGAGCGUGACGGCGCGAGCAGGUGCGAAAGCAGGUCAUAGUGAUCCGGUGGUUCUGAAUGGAAGGGCCAUCGCUCAACGGAUAAAAGGUACUCCGGGGAUAACAGGCUGAUACCGCCCAAGAGUUCAUAUCGACGGCGGUGUUUGGCACCUCGAUGUCGGCUCAUCACAUCCUGGGGCUGAAGUAGGUCCCAAGGGUAUGGCUGUUCGCCAUUUAAAGUGGUACGCGAGCUGGGUUUAGAACGUCGUGAGACAGUUCGGUCCCUAUCUGCCGUGGGCGCUGGAGAACUGAGGGGGGCUGCUCCUAGUACGAGAGGACCGGAGUGGACGCAUCACUGGUGUUCGGGUUGUCAUGCCAAUGGCACUGCCCGGUAGCUAAAUGCGGAAGAGAUAAGUGCUGAAAGCAUCUAAGCACGAAACUUGCCCCGAGAUGAGUUCUCCCUGACCCUUUAAGGGUCCUGAAGGAACGUUGAAGACGACGACGUUGAUAGGCCGGGUGUGUAAGCGCAGCGAUGCGUUGAGCUAACCGGUACUAAUGAACCGUGAGGCUUAAC
rnacentral:rRNA from 1 species